rnacentral:rRNA from 1 species
CAGCCGCCGCGGUAAUACGUAGGUGGCAAGCGUUGUCCGGAAUUAUUGGGCGUAAAGGGCUCGCAGGCGGUUUCUUAAGUCUGAUGUGAAAGCCCCCGGCUCAACCGGGGAGGGUCAUUGGAAACUGGGAAACUUGAGUGCAGAAGAGGAGAGUGGAAUUCCACGUGUAGCGGUGAAAUGCGUAGAGAUGUGGAGGAACACCAGUGGCGAAGGCGACUCUCUGGUCUGUAACUGACGCUGAGGAGCGAAAGCGUGGGGAGCGAACAGGAUUAGAGACCCCAGUAGUCCCUGUCUCUUAUAC